rnacentral:rRNA from 1 species
GGCGAUAGAGUUUGAUCCUGGCUCAGAGCGAACGCUGGCGGCAGGCUUAACACAUGCAAGUCGAGCGGGCGUAGCAAUACGUCAGCGGCAGACGGGUGAGUAACGCGUGGGAACGUACCUUUUGGUUCGGAACAACACAGGGAAACUUGUGCUAAUACCGGAUAAGCCCUUACGGGGAAAGAUUUAUCGCCGAAAGAUCGGCCCGCGUCUGAUUAGCUAGUUGGUGAGGUAACGGCUCACCAAGGCGACGAUCAGUAGCUGGUCUGAGAGGAUGAUCAGCCACAUUGGGACUGAGACACGGCCCAAACUCCUACGGGAGGCAGCAGUGGGGAAUAUUGGACAAUGGGCGCAAGCCUGAUCCAGCCAUGCCGCGUGAGUGAUGAAGGCCCUAGGGUUGUAAAGCUCUUUUGUGCGGGAAGAUAAUGACGGUACCGCAAGAAUAAGCCCCGGCUAACUUCGUGCCAGCAGCCGCGGUAAUA